rnacentral:rRNA from 1 species
AUUGAACGCUGGCGGAAUGCUUUACACAUGCAAGUCGAACGGCAGCACGGACUUCGGUCUGGUGGCGAGUGGCGAACGGGUGAGUAAUGUAUCGGAACGUGCCCAGUCGUGGGGGAUAACGUAGUGAAAAUUACGCUAAUACCGCAUACGAUCUAUGGAUGAAAGCGGGGGAUCGCAAGACCUCGCGCGAUUGGAGCGGCCGAUAUCAGAUUAGGUAGUUGGUGGGGUAAAGGCCCACCAAGCCAACGAUCUGUAGAUGGUCUGAGAGGACGACCAGCCACACUGGAACUGAGACACGGUCCAGACUCCUACGGGAGGCAGCAGUGGGGAAUUUUGGACAAUGGGCGAAAGCCUGAUCCAGCCAUUCCGCGUGCAGGAUGAAGGCACUCGGGUUGUAAACUGCUUUUGUACAGAACGAAAAGGUUUCUACUAAUACUAGGAGCUCAUGACGGUACUGUAAGAAUAAGCACCGGCUAACUACGUGCCAGCAGCCGCCGUAA